UCCGUAGCUGGCCUUCCAAGUCUUUCGUUAAAUCCAGCGAUCAAUCGUUGGACUGCGGGAGAUACUGUUAGGCUAGGGGGCGGGAGAAGCCGACGGUAUUCUUGGGGUAGGGGUAAAAUCCUAUAAUCCCAGGAAGACCACCAGUGGCGUAGGCGGUCGGCUAGCACGCGCUCGACGGUGAGGGACGAAAGCUGGGGGAGCGAACCGGAUUAGAUACCCGGGUAGUCCCAGCUGUAAACGAUGCGGGCUAGGUGUUGGAGCGGCUACGAGCCGCUUCAGUGCCGCAGGGAAGCCAUUAAGCCCGCCGCCUGGGGAGUACGGCCGCAAGGCUGAA
rnacentral:rRNA from 1 species